UUAAGAAAAUAAGAAGUUAGAGAGAGUUAGAGAGUUAGAGAGAGCUAGGGAGAAGGUGCUCUUCCUUUGAAGCUUUUCUCUUCCGCGUCUCAAGCUAGGACUAGAAGCUGUUAGAUCGAUUCUUUCAAGCCAAGUCCAGGUAACCUUAGUGGGGAAAGCCUUAGGGGGAGCGCAGGACGUUAGGCCAGCCGGUGUAGAGUUGCAUUGCCUUUGCAAUUCGUUUUUGUAAAAUAUAAAUUGUUGUAUUUUGGCCUUAGGUGUCUGGCGCCAUUUUCGUAUUAAUGUUUUAUGAACUUAUUUUACGAAGUAAAUAUAGUUAAAAGUUAUUUUUUUUAUUUAA